CACGUAGGGUGCAAGCGUUGUCCGGAAUUAUUGGGCGUAAAGAGCUCGUAGGCGGUGUGUCGCGUCGAUCGUGAAAACUUGGGGCUUAACCCUGAGCUUGCGGUCGAUACGGGCAUCACUUGAGUUCGGCAGGGGAGACUGGGAAUUCCUGGUGUAGCGGUGAAAUGCGCAGAUAUCAGGAGGAACACCGGUGGCGAAGGCGGGUCUCUGGGCCGAUACUGACGCUGAGGAGCGAAAGCGUGGGGAGCGAACAGG
rnacentral:rRNA from 1 species